GGAAGUGAAGAUGUCUUAGUUGUGAUAUCUGCCACGUCAGUGAUUGCCAGAGUUGAUUUGGCUGAUCUAGGCAUGUGUUUCCUUCCUCUCGCCCUCUUCCAUGUGCAUUACUCCCAGAGCUGUGUGCUCAGUAGAGGAGGACAGCCUUUGCCAAGAGAUGAGGAAAUGAGGACCAUUCUUCUGUCAAGGGUAGAUUGAGUGGCUGUGUUUCCCUUCUCCAACCUCUACACAAGUCCUCAAGAAGUCUACCAAUAACAAACACAAUGAUAGGGAAUGACAUUAAUUAUGCCUGCUUCCUCUGCCCAUCACCAUGUUCCUUCUUCA
rnacentral:snRNA from 1 species